rnacentral:rRNA from 1 species
UACAGAGGUCUCAAGCGUUGUUCGGAUUCAUUGGGCGUAAAGGGUGCGUAGGUGGCGGGGUAAGUUGGAUGUGAAAUCUCGGGGCUCAACCCCGAAACUGCAUUCAAUACUGCUCUGCCCGAGUACUGGAGAGGAGAUCGGAAUUUACGGUGUAGCAGUGAAAUGCGUAGAUAUCGUAAGGAAGACCAGUGGCGAAGGCGGAUCUCUGGACAGUUACUGACACUGAGGCACGAAGGCCAGGGGAGCAAACGGG